rnacentral:rRNA from 1 species
UACGAAGGGGGCUAGCGUUGUUCGGAUUUACUGGGCGUAAAGCGCACGUAGGCGGAUUUGUAAGUCAGGGGUGAAAUCCCGGGGCUCAACCUCGGAACUGCCUUUGAUACUGCAAAUCUCGAGUCCGGGAGAGGUGAGUGGAGCUGCGAGUGUAGAGGUGAAAUUCGUAGAUAUUCGCAAGAACACCAGUGGCGAAGGCGGCUCACUGGCCCGGUACUGACGCUGAGGUGCGAAAGCGUGGGGAGCAAACAGG